CGGGCUCCUCACACACCGAGUCCGGAGUCUACCCGAGGGAAGCCCAGGGCGGCCUUGGAGAGGAGCAAGCGGACCCGCGGAGGUUCUCCCUCAGCCUCAGGAAGGACUCCGAGAUGCGCGGAGCGGAACCCCUCUCCAGACUUUAGAGUCGCCCCCCUCCCCGACCGGGACCGUUACCGGUCGCCGCCUGAAGGAGCGGCUCUGUGAUUGUCGCUAGAGUGGCCUGGGCAUCGUUUGUCUAGGGCACGUUGACUUGUGGCCCUGGAAGGUUCUUUGCUUAUUUCCUUCCCAGCGUUGCAGCUGGAUCAGUAUAGCUCCAGAACCUGCUGUCAGCUCCACCCUCUUCAGUACUCAACACGACUAUUAAUCCUUAGAGGAUAGGCUGCUGAACAAGAUUGCCUGCAUGAUUUUUCUACCAACCAGUAUGAAAAAGAAAAUGCUAGAAUUCUUAAUUUUGCUGUUUCCGGGAGCCUUUGCAAAUCAAUUCAGCAUGAAGGGAAAACAAGAAAACCAAAGAAGCGGCUUUAAAAAUCGUGACGUCAAGCAGGGUCCAGUGUCUCUCAUCUGUAAUACGAGCAUUUGGGAAGCUGAGGCAGGAGGACUGCUGUGAGUCUGAGACCAGCUUGAGCUACAAGUUUGUUUCAAAAAACAAAACAAAAACGAACAAAGAAAAAGAAGAACCAUGAUGUCAUGGUGUCAGUGGCUCUUGGAUGACUCUAGUUUUCUCUACUCUAACUGUAUCAACAAACUCAAUUUCUUAGAGCAGUCGUGUGGUAAAGUGACCAGCAGAAGCCACAGAAAUGGCCACUGUCUGUUAUUCAGGAGAGGUUUUGCAUGAUUUCCUUCAUGACUGCAUAUGCUUUUCUCUUGGAUGGUUUUACCUUGCCUGCUUCUUAAAAAUGUUCAUUGGCAUGCAGGUGCAUUUUCUGCACUGUCUGUUCUCACCCGGUGCAAUUCCUCAUCUAAUGUCACGGUCUUCUCCAUACCCUGAUGUCACAGAGUGCUGACACAGGCAGGCUUCAUCUACGGAAUAUACUUUCUUUCACCUCAGUGUCUCUAAGGCUUUAUUGGGAAAAGUGUUAGAGAAUACAGAAAUAUUAGCCUGAAAAUCUUUCGAAUAAUCUCCAUAAAGAGAAUUCUUUUGUCCUAAGUAUUAGCAAGGGUACUCCUUUUCCUGCCUAUCCCAGCUAUCUCAUGAAGGGGGUCAUAAUAAUUAUUUUUCUUUGUCAUUAUUAGCCCAGUUCUGUUCUUGUAGACAACAGAUAUGUAUUGUGCUUAAAUGUCUUUGGGUAAAUGCCUAUCCACAUGAUCACUGGCCAUUGUAGGCCCUGUAUCUGGGCUGGUCACAUCAUCCACAGUCACUGAGCUGAGUGAGGCUCUUCUUUAAGGUAGAAUAUUUAAGGUAGAAUAAGGAGGACAUAUUCUCUUCUUUCUUCUCUCUUGUGGAACUUCAUGAAAGGCUUGGCUCUUCUUUCUACUUGUCUGAAUAAAGAGCUGGAGGGUUUCUCUGAGCCCCGAUAGGAUAAGAACCCUGUCCUUGGGCAGUCUACAUGGCUCCUGGUCCCUUGGCUGCCCUUAGAGAUGUGCCUGCACCUUUAUUGCCAUGAGUUGGCUUCUGGAACCCCAGAAGCACUGGAAGAUGAAGGUCCUUUAGGGAACCCAUUCUUUUCUUCUGGUCUGGCUGCUUUUGUUCUUUCUCUCCCUGUCUCUCUUGCAUGUAGCCAUAGCUGUCUUUGGAUUUCUCAUCCCGUUGCUACUGUUUCCUGAGCGACAGGAUUGCAGGUGUACACCAUGCCUGGUUUAUGGGACUCAAACCCAGGGCUUUGUGCACGCUCAACAAGCACGCUACCAACUGAGCUGUACCCCAACCUCCAUUUUGCUUUCUUUACGAAGCUCCAGUUUUUUAAACUAGCCAUACUACAUGCUUGGGCGAAGACUUGCAGAAUGCAUUGGUAAAUGCCACUGCAAUUUCUUUUUUCUUUUCUUUUGUAUCAUAAAAUUGACUGCUGGCUUGCUUUGGUGAGAGAUCAAGUAGUCCAGAAAGGAGGCUGGGUCUGUUGACGUCAGUGGGAUACUCUUCUUGGUUCUUAGUCCAAGAAGUACAAUUUAGUAGAGCGGAAGUUUCAGUUGCCCAGUGUU